AAUCAACGCUGGCGGCGUGCCUCAGACAUGCAAGUCGAACGCGAAAGGCUCCUUCGGGGGCCGAGUAGAGUGGCGCACGGGUGAGUAACACGUAGGUAAUUUGCCUUUGGGUGGGGAAUAACUCAGGGAAACUUGAGCUAAUACCGCAUAAUGCAGCGGCUCGACAUCGAGACAGUUGUUAAAGCGGGGGAUCGCAAGACCUCGCGCCUGAAGAGAAGCCUGCGGCAGAUUAGCUAGUUGGUAGGGUAAUGGCCUACCAAGGCGACGAUCUGUAACCGGCCUGAGAGGGCGGUCGGUCACACUGACACUGACAUACGGGUCAGACUCCUACGGGAGGCAGCAGUCGGGUAAUUUUGGGCAAUGGGCGCAAGCCUGACCCAGCAACGCCGCGUGAAGGAUGAAA
rnacentral:rRNA from 1 species